AGAAUCAACGCUGGCGGCGUGCCUAACACAUGCAAGUCGAACGAGAAAGGGGAGCAAUCCCUGAGUAAAGUGGCGACCGGGUGAGUAACACGUGACUAACCUACCCUCGAGUGUGGAAUAACAUCGGGAAACCGAUGCUAAUACCGCAUAACAUCGGCGCUUUUAAGAGAUGCCGAGUCAAAGGAGCAAUCCGCUUGAGGAGGGGGUCGCGGCUGAUUAGCUAGUUGGCGGGGUAACGGCCCACCAAGGCGAAGAUCGGUA
rnacentral:rRNA from 1 species